AUCGAACGGCAACUAAAUACCAGACACCAAUCGCUGCUAAUUAAGUACAUAGCAUGUGCAAAUUAUCUCACCCAGGAAGCAUGCCCGAUGGGCCAAUCGAAGUCUGAAACAUGAGAUUGAAGGGGUAUGGAUCAGAGAUGUGGUUCCCGGUAUCAGGUGAUCUGAUAUCAUACUCCUUCAGCUUCGCCCCUAUCUCUUCAGCAGAAAGAUCGUCCAACACCGUGAUGACAUGCUUGAACUCUGCAGCCUUAUUAGGCGAUAAUGUGAGGUCCUUUUCGAGCUUUCCCUUGCAAUAGUCCUUGAGUAAGUGAUCGGCACGGUAGCACAUCCCAGUCUUCUCAUCCUUCACCAUCAGGUCAGUGAAUUUAUCCACAUGACCAGAUGCCUUCAAGACUACCUCUGGCGUGAGACAGGGACACCAUACCUCCGACAUGCGCUCCGCCGAAACAAAGUGCUAAAGAAAACAGAUCAAACAUAUUAUUGUAGCAUUCUGUGUACUAGCAGUUAUGUUUUGCCUUCAAAAUAAAACAGUGUACAAACAUAUAAUUAAGCAUUCGAUCCAUGAGAAAAAAAUAUUCUCUUUUCAAAAUUAAACAGCAUAAAACGAACAACUCAGCAUUCAAACUACGAGGAAAAGGAUGCAGCGAGCAGUAUAUACCAGCAAAAAGAAUCAAAUGUAAAGAUAAAUUCCCAAAUAAUGAUCACCAUUGUCGCUGAAUGUAAGAGUUUAAAUAUCGUUACAAGCUUCGACUGAUGCAAUCUUAAAUAUAAAGAAAAAAAAAUCUAAUUAUCAGGUACUAGUUAUAGAAAUUUGUUUAAAAGUUAAGUAUCACCUAUAAGCAUUUUAGACACACAAUGGGGGGAACUUGUUUUCUCAUUUGUGGGUAAAAAUUUCAAGAAACAAGUUUAACGUAACCGUAUCGAAUCCAUAGGGGAACAAGACGUCUUGAUGGCGUUACCUGGCGCCAAAAGGCAAGGACGUUGGACUUAACGGCGCACCCAGGAGGCCCGUAGUCGUAGAGGCCGGCGACGCCGCCGUAGAUCUUGAAGGAGGGGAUGUAGAAGAGCCUCCUCUCGAGCGUGUUCACGACGGCCUGCCGAAAUGCCUCCUUGUUGCUGCCGUUGCCAAUGAAGGCGGACUGGAGUCGCUUUGCGGCGACACCGUGCUCCACCUUGAGGGCCUUGUGGGCCUCGACGGUUAUGGCGAAGGGGACACCAAGCGUAUCCGUCCUGGCAUAAUGUUUUCCUAUAGACAUGCCUGCAAAAUACACCAGCAAAAUCGUAAUUUAUAAGCAGCUUAGUCUGAAGCUGAAUCAUAUGAACCAUUAAUCCAUCGAUGUGGACUUUAAAAUCUAUUGUUUCUGUAUAGCGUUCUAGUUAAAUAGACUUGUAUAUUUCAUCGCAUCAGCAUAAUCAUAACAAUCGGUAUAUUUAAGUGUCAUGCAACCAUCUACUAAACUACCGAUCCACAAACCAAGUUCUAGAUAUCUAAGAGUAAGUUGAUGAUAAAACAUUUGAGAACCUAACAAUAGGAUUAAUUGAAAAAAAAGACUAUUUUAGAAUCCAUGUGAAGAGAAGUAACAUUACCCGCCACAACCUAUGAAAUAAUGGCAUUCCAGAUUUCUGACUAAAACCGGAGUUCAAAUAUUUAUCAGAUGCUGAUAUUUUACAGGCAUACCUGUAACAUCUAAUUUAUGUGAGAUCCCAGCCUUCUUUAGUGAUUUAGCCAUGAGUUUGGCCGCUCCAUCAAACUGCUGAUACUUGAUUGCUGGAUAAAUGGUGCGCUUAAUAGGAGGGAUGCAUAACACAUUUAGCUGUUCAUUCUCUGAAUAGCUUCGUCUUCUGUAGAAAGAAUGCUCAAAGAGACAGUAGAUUAUUCGUCCAAUACCAAAAGAUGGUUCGAUAACAAACGGGGUAAAAAGCCUUUGAUGUUCCUUCUUUCUUUCCAUACUAAUAGAUACCAUGUUUUGCUUUAGAAGCACAGAUUUUCCAAGUGUACAGACUUGGAAGUCCACCUCUCCUUUAUUAUCCAAAGCUUCCUUCAUUACCAGUGCUUCUUUUUCACUCAUGGCCUAUCCAAAGAGCUUGUUAGAAGCUAUAAAUGAAAAGGCUAAGUAAUUAGCAGCAUGGAAUAUGUGCAAAGGUUACCUCCAAUGCUUCAACCACCAUUCUUUGGUUACCCUUAAAUGCACGACCUAGUUCUCUUUUUAAUGGGGUAAUAACCAGCUUCUGAAAAUUAUUUAAAAAAUCAAACAAUAAGCAAGUCGAAAAUAGGAAAGUAUCUUCUGGACAAUAGAUAAAAAAAAGUGCAACAUAACUUCGGCGGCAAAGUAUGGAGGCCAGUGAUUUGCCCUUCCACAUGUGAAAUUAGACACAUAAAAAAAAGUGGCAAAGAAAAUCCUACCUCCACCUCUCUAGGUUCUGAGAACUUCUCAUGAGCAACCAAAGGGACACCACUUUUCUCCUGUUGAAUAGCAUAAUAAAAUUAUCAUACUUCAGCAUCAAUCUACGAAGCUUUAAUCAGCCGAUAGAUAAAAACUCGAAUAAAUAGCCGAUAAGAAGAGUUUUAGCGAAAGCUCUGGCAAAAGAAUGGCAUGCAUAAUCAUAAGAGGAUUGUCUUUCUAUGCAACUAAAAGUAAACAAUAGCUAAGAUGGGUAUCUCAGAUAAGGCUGUCCAAGACAUGAAAAUAACAAUCAACUUUUGAAAAGAGGCACAAAGCCAUGAGCUUGUGAUGUUCUAAAGAAGCAAAUCUAAAGGCCAUUUACAUAUGAAGCAAACUAGUAGAAAAAUUGCAAACUAGUGUAAAAAGGGCACCAUUAUAUAUUGGUCUUAGAUAACAGAAGGUUUGGUUUCUUAUUCAACAUUGUUUUCCAUUUACUCUUCAUACGUGUGGCAGUUUCUGAUGAAGACCAACCAACACCUGCCCCAACUUGCCCAAAAUAAACAGGAUUGGUUUUCAGCCCCAGAUCCAACAGGUUAACAGAGGUUGAGCAAGCCCUUGAAACCCAGUUGUGGAUGUUCAUAGUUAAGAGAGGAAACAAAAAGUACUGAAGAGAAAGUGGAGUAGACAGCAUGUUCAAGAUUCAUCACAUUUUCUUCAACAGUUUAAUUUCCUCUUCUCACUCUCAAUGCCACACCCUAGAUACCUCUUCUUGACCUAUCUCAUUUCAAUUAUAAGAUAUAUAACUAACAAGUGAAGUCUAAUAGCAGGUCAGGUACAAGGUCCCAUAAUAAAUGAGUUGGUAUGGGUUUAUUCGUUUCAAACAUUGUGAGUUGUAUGGGCUGAGAGUUUUGAUGACGAUCCAAAUCCAAUCCAAUCACAAAUCAACCAGACCCAAAUGCACUGCUAACUAAUCCUCUCACUUGUUAAAAGAAGAAUAGUUUUGCAAGAGUUGCAUAAGAUUAUAAUUUGUCACAAUCAGAACUCAUCACAACAUUCUUAACUGCAAACAAGCCUGGAUUACAUACCGAAUGAGCUCGUAAAUCAUAAUCAGAUCUAUCAGCAAUCCCAACACAUUCAAUCCAGCCAUCAGAGCAUUCUAUUUCCGCAUCCCAACAGUCUACAGCAUAGUGAGCCAUCUCAUUUGGCAGAUGCUGCCUGAAGCGCAAUCUAUCUUUGUCAAUUCCCAGACGAGUCAAGAAAAGAUACACCCGUCCUAUGAAGUAACCAAGUGUCUCAUUGUUGAUUAUUCCCUACAAAAAGAAAUUAAAACAAUGUUUAAAAGAAACUAAACCAAAUGAAGAAUAGAGAUGUCAAAAUAAAAUAAAGGUAAAGGAAGAAACGAUCAGCACAAAGGUGAUAAUAAGGUAGCCAAAGAAACCAACCUUUGAAACAGCUUCACCAAGGAUCAUUGACUUGGCUGAUUUCCCUGCUAGUUGCUCCUCCCUGGGGAACAUCAAAAGCUCCAGGUUGGCAACAUGAACAAACUUCGGGUGGGAUUUGUCCUCAGGAUCCACAAAGUGCUCUAUCUCAGCUAGUGUGAACUCACGGGCUCUUAAAAGACCUUGGCGAGGUGAAAUCUACUCAUCAUAGAAAAUAAGUUAUGUCAGACCGACAGUUGAACAUAAAACAAAGGCUUGUAACACAAAAAAGAAAUAUAGAAGACAGAACACCCAUGGUUUCUACUAGCAUAACUUUUGAAUUAAGAGAACAACAUCAAAUAUCUUUAAUUAUUCGCCCAAAUUAUUGCAUUUAUAUUCCUUCAACUGAAAAAAGCACAAAAUCAUCUCAUACUGAGACAAAAUAUCAAAAAUCAAUAAGGGAGAAACAAGAUCUGGUGAAUAAUAAAGUGAAUCCUUGCCACCAAAAAAAAAGAACUCACUUUUCCAAUGUUACAGAGGGAAUAUGUCUAUUUUAGAAAAUGAAGAAACAAUGCAACCAUUCAUUCAGUUCUUUAAACUGACAGCUUUAUCACCAGAAAGGAGAUAAAAAAUGCAUUAAAUUUUCAACCAAUCCUCAGCUAAUUCAGUAAAAUUUGAUAAUGUUAUUUACGCCAAGAUUAGCCUAAUCCUAUAGGUUAAAUGCGCUGAAGCCAUAUUUUGUAUCUAAUUAAGUUAAGCCAGCAACUUAACUAUCCCAAAUUCCCAAUUCAUGUUAAGUAUUUCUGCAUGCUAUGGUUCAAGUCAAUAAUUUGAUUGGAUGAGGCUCUCAAAUUCAUGGUAUCAACUUGUGUUAAGUUCACAUAUGCCAAUCCAAGGACCUCAACAAACAGCAAUGAAGGAGUUAUCUUUAUCUAACUUGGGAUGCUCAGCCCAUAGAAUAGACAAAUCAAUUAGAUGAGAACUAGUAUGCGAUCAAGCAUUAAAGAAAUGUAUCCACUUUCUCUUAGCAAAAAGAAAAGAAAUACAUCCACCAAGAAUCAUUGUGAAUGCAUGUAUACUAAAACACCAACUUUUAACACAUAUAAAAUUGCUAACAAGAUAAUGCAGCUCAGAUCUUCAUUACACAUGGCAGUUUUGCACGAUGUAAUCUUCUAUGCCUAAAGGCACAAUUUUAUACCCACAGUAAAGGAAGAAAAUGGAAGCAAACAAACCUCAUUUCUAAAUGCCUGCCCAAUCUGAGCUACUGCAAAUGGAAGCUUGUAGCCAUUGUAAUAGUACAGGUCCCUAAAAUCCACAAAAAUACCUUGUGCUGUUUCUGGCCUCAUAUACCUACAAUCCACAAAUAAUCGAACAGCAACUAAAUACCAGACACCAAUCGCUGCUAAUUAAGUACAUAUCAUGUGCAAAUUAACUCACCCAGGAAGCAUGCCAGAUGGGCCAAUCGAAGUCUGAAACAUGAGAUUGAAGGGGUAUGGAUCAGAGAUGUGGUUCCCGGUAUCAGGUGAUCUGACAUCAUACUCCUUCAGCUUCGCCCCUAGCUCUUCAGCAGAAAGAUUGUCCAACACUGAGAU
rnacentral:lncRNA from 1 species